GGAUAUGUAGCUCAGUGUUAGAGCACUUGGCAUGUGAGAGAUCCUGGGUUUGAUCCCCAGCACAUCAA
rnacentral:tRNA from 1 species